rnacentral:rRNA from 1 species
GUGGGGAAUAUUGGACAAUGGGCGCAAGCCUGAUCCAGCCAUACCGCGUGGGUGAAGAAGGCCUUCGGGUUGUAAAGCCCUUUUGUUGGGAAAGAAAUCCUGUCGGUUAAUACCUGGCGGGGAUGACGGUACCCAAAGAAUAAGCACCGGCUAACUUCGUGCCAGCAGCCGCGGUAAUACGAAGGGUGCAAGCGUUACUCGGAAUUACUGGGCGUAAAGCGUGCGUAGGUGGUGGUUUAAGUCCGUUGUGAAAGCCCUGGGCUCAACCUGGGAAUUGCAGUGGAUACUGGAUCACUAGAGUGUGGUAGAGGGAUGCGGAAUUUCUGGUGUAGCAGUGAAAUGCGUAGAGAUCAGAAGGAACAUCCGUGGCGAAGGCGGCAUCCUGGGCCAACACUGACACUGAGGCACGAAAGCGUGGGGAGCAAACAGGAUUAGAAACCCUGGUAGUCC